rnacentral:rRNA from 1 species
UGAGGCAUAUUGGUCAAUGGACGAGAGUCUGAACCAGCCAAGUAGCGUGCAGGAUGACGGCCCUAUGGGUUGUAAACUUCGUUUGUUUGGGAAUAAUCGACAUUACGUGUAAUGUUUUGCAUGUACCAUUCGAAUAAGGACCGGCUAAUUCCGUGCCAGCAGCCGCGGUAAUACGGAAGGUCCAGGCGCUAUCCGGAUUUAUUGAGUUGAAGGGGAGUGUAGGCGGUUGGUUAAGCGUGUUGUGAAAUGUAGAUGCUCAACAUCUGACUUGAAGCGCGAACUGGCUGACUUGAGUACACACAACGUAGGCGGAAUUCAUGGUGUAGCGGUGAAAUGCUUAGAUAUCAUGAAGAACUCCGAUUGCGAAGGCAGCUUACGGGAGUGUUACUGACGCUUAAGCUCGAAGGUGCGGGUAUCGAACAGG